rnacentral:antisense_RNA from 1 species
CUUCACCGAUCCCAGCCACAGCGGCCGGUCGUCGGGGCGGCCCUGGCCGUAGGUGGCCAGGAGGGCUUGGGCUUC